UUUAAUUAAUGUUAAAGGAUUGUUUUAAAUAUAAAGAAUAUAAAGAAAAGAAUGUUAGUCAAUGUGCCUUGUACCACUUACCAUAAACAUUACUUAGGCUAUAGCAAAAUUGUAUAUACCUUUAGAAUUCCUUCCCUUCCAUUAGGUAUAAUGCUGAUUUUUCCCCCUCAAAUUUAAUGAAUAUAUAGGAGUAAAUUUGAAGAUAUGAGAUACAUUGUGUGAGGAAAUAUUAUUCUUGUGUAUAUUGGGGUUGAACACUAAGAUAAAAGGAAUUUUUAAGGAGGAUAUCAAUUAAUGUCAAAAGACUGAUCAAGAAAACUAAUUUUUCUUAAUAAAAUUAAUACACCACUGCACUUUGAAAUUAUUUAUAUUUUGUUGACCAUGCACUUUAAAUUUUUUUUUAUUUUUUUCAAAUAAAGAUAGAAAUUUUUCUUGUUCAAGAAGCUUGUUGAUAGCUUUUAAUCAUCUCUGUGAAAAAAUGAUGCAAAGAAGAGUCCAGAACCUCAAUUUAUUUUCUUGUCAAAUAGACAAAGGUGACAACGAACUGGGGCUUUGUACUUGUAUCUUCUUUGAUCCAGCAGAUGAGGAUGGAAAGGAACCAGGGGUUUUUAUAACUGAAAUUAUUGAAGGAGGUGCAGUUCACAAACUUGGAUGUAUCCGUGUAUUUGACCAGAUUAUUAAAAUAGGUGACAUCAAUCUAAUUGGAUUGGAUGAAGCAGAAAUCGUCUCUACUUUUAAAAAAAUGGACGAUUCUCCUUUCCAGAUUGAAAUUGGCCGCGAACCACCUGAAGUGAAGUCAGAACUUAUCGAACUCCUUGAGUUGUCAGAGCAAAGGAAGAAAUAUUUUAUGGAUUCGCUCAUAGUACAGGAAAAAAUUGGAGAUAUCACUAUUGUGAGAGGACAAGCAAGUAUUUGUAGAAGUCCAAGAGUACCAUGGUUCUGGAUGGCCAGUGACCUGAAAUUUGUUAUUGGGGUACUGAAAACAUUAAUAGAAGAAGAUCAGGGAUGUAGAAAAGACAUCCAAGCUAUCUUUGAGCAGGCUAACAUUUUUCAAGACAAUUAUAAAGACAUGAACACAUACAAAGUGAAUAUGGAACAGAAACCUGAUGAAUCAGAUAAAGAAGGCACAUUUUUACCAUUGGCCCCAGAAGAAGAAUUUUUACUAGGACAAUUUAAAAUAAAGCCUAAAGAGAUAAAAAAUGAAGAUUUAUCACCAGAGCAAUUAUUAGCCCAAGGGGAUUUCAAUUCAGAGACCCCAAUAAAAAAAGAAAAAGAAGAAGAAGAAAUAGUAGUGGAGGAAGAGAUUAUUAACACUGGAAAACCUACAGAGG
rnacentral:lncRNA from 1 species